GGUGCUGUGGUGCAGUGGGUUAACGCCCUGGCCUGAAGCUCCGGAUUCUCAUAUGGGCACUGGUUCAACACCAGUCUGCUCCA
rnacentral:tRNA from 1 species